AUUGAACGCUGGCGGCAGGCCUGACACAUGCAAGUCGAGCGGCAGCGGGACCUUCGGGUUGCCGGCGAGCGGCGGACGGGUGAGUAAUGCCUAGGAAUCUGCCUGUUAGUGGGGGAUAACGCGGGGAAACUCGCGCUAAUACCGCAUACGUCCUACGAGAGAAAGCGGGGGCUCUUCGGACCUCGCGCUAACAGAUGAGCCUAGGUCGGAUUAGCUAGUUGGUGGGGUAAUGGCCCACCAAGGCGACGAUCCGUAACUGGUCUGAGAGGAUGAUCAGUCACACUGGAACUGAGACACGGUCCAGACUCCUACGGGAGGCAGCAGUGGGGAAUAUUGGACAAUGGGCGAAAGCCUGAUCCAGCCAUGCCGCGUGUGUGAAGAAGGUCUUCGGAUUGUAAAGCACUUUAAGUCGGGAGGAAGGGCUGUAGGCUAAUACCUUGCAGUUUUGACGUUACCGACAGAAUAAGCACCGGCUAACUUCGUGCCAGCAGCCGCAGUAACAC
rnacentral:rRNA from 1 species